AUUGAACGCUGGCGGCAUGCCUUACACAUGCAAGUCGAACGGCAGCACGGGAGCAAUCCUGGUGGCGAGUGGCGAACGGGUGAGUAAUAUAUCGGAACGUGCCCAGUCGUGGGGGAUAACGUAGCGAAAGCUACGCUAAUACCGCAUACGAUCUAUGGAUGAAAGCGGGGGAUCGCAAGACCUCGCGCGAUUGGAGCGGCCGAUAUCAGAUUAGGUAGUUGGUGGGGUAAAGGCUCACCAAGCCGACGAUCUGUAGCUGGUCUGAGAGGACGACCAGCCACACUGGGACUGAGACACGGCCCAGACUCCUACGGGAGGCAGCAGUGGGGAAUUUUGGACAAUGGGCGCAAGCCUGAUCCAGCAAUGCCGCGUGCAGGAUGAAGGCCUUCGGGUUGUAAACUGCUUUUGUACGGAGCGAAAAGGCUCUCUCUAAUACAGGGGGCUCAUGACGGUACCGUAAAAAUAAGCACCGGCUAACUACGUGCCAGCCGCCGCAGUAAUAC
rnacentral:rRNA from 1 species